AGUUAAGGCUGUGUCACAAAAGGCCGGCUGUCAAAAGACCAAAACAGUGGAAACAGUCGGAGCUAGAUUUUACAUCUAAUCGUAUCUUCAAGCCAACACUUGCCGCGUGGUAAUGAUGUUCAAUGGUCUGAUACAAGUCAUCUUGGUCUUGUGGUUUGUAGCAACAUCCGAGAGUGACGUUUGCAGCGAAAACAUCUGUCAAUGCACCAAUUUCGGUAAGACUCGGCUUAUAGUAAAAUGCCGAGUUCACGGAUACAUAUCGACCGGAAUCCCAAGCAACACAAUAGAACUAGAUCUUUCAAGUUGUUCCUUGAACUCAAUUACAGAAGACAUCUUCAAGA